AGUGAACGCUGGCGGUAGGCCUAACACAUGCAAGUCGAACGGCAGCACAGUAAGAGCUUGCUCUUACGGGUGGCGAGUGGCGGACGGGUGAGGAAUACAUCGGAAUCUACUUUUUCGUGGGGGAUAACGUAGGGAAACUUACGCUAAUACCGCAUACGACCUACGGGUGAAAGCAGGGGAUCUUCGGACCUUGCGCGAUUGAAUGAGCCGAUGUCGGAUUAGCUAGUUGGCGGGGUAAAGGCCCACAAAGGCGACGAUCCGUAGCUGGUCUGAGAGGAUGAUCAGCCACACUGGAACUGAGCAACGGUCCAGACUCCUACGGGAGGCAGCAGUGGGGAAUAUUGGACAAUGGGCGCAAGCCUGAUCCAGCCAUACCGCGUGGGUGAAGAAGGCCUUCGGGUUGUAAAGCCCUUUUGUUGGGAAAGAAAAGCAGCAGGUUAAUACCCCGCUGUUCUGACGGUACCCAAAGAAUAAGCACCGGCUAACUUCGU
rnacentral:rRNA from 1 species